GGGCCGGUAGCUCAGCUGGUUAGAGCACACGCCUGAUAAGCGUGAGGCCGGUGGUUCAAGUCCACUCCGGCCCA
rfam:Candidatus Kapabacteria sp. 59-99 SCNpilot_expt_1000_bf_scaffold_7639, whole genome shotgun sequence.